rnacentral:rRNA from 1 species
AGAGUUUGAUCCUGGCUCAGAACGAACGCUGGCGGCGUGGAUAAGACAUGCAAGUCGGACGCUGAUUACAGGGUAGCAAUAUUCUGUGGUCGGAGUGGCGCAAGGGUGCGUAACACGUGGGUAAUCUGCCGCGAAGACUGGAAUAACUUGCUGAAAAGCGAGCUAAUACCGGAUGUGAUUGCCGGAGGGCCUCCUCGGGCGAUCAAAGCUGGGGACCGAAAGGCCUGGCACUUCGCGAUGAGCCCGCGGCCUAUCAGCUAGUUGGUGUGGUAACGGCUCACCAAGGCGAAGACGGGUAGCUGGUCUGAGAGGACGACCAGCCACACUGGAACUGAGGCACGGUCCAGACACCUACGGGUGGCAGCAGUCGAGAAUUUUUCACAAUGGGCGCAAGCCUGAUGGAGCGACGCCGCGUGGGGGAUGAAUGGCUUCGGCCCGUAAACCCCUGUCAUGGGCGAUCAACCCUUUUCCGUGAACAGCGGAAAAGCUGAUAGUAGCUCAAGAGGAAGGGACGGCUAACUCUGUGCCAGCAGCCGCGGUAAUACAGAGGUCCCAAGCGUUGUUCGGAUUCACUGGGCGUAAAGGGUGCGUAGGUGGUCGGGUAAGUCUGAUGUGAAAUCUCGGAGCUCAACUCCGAAACGGCAUCGGAUACUAUUCGGCUCGAGGUGUGGAGGGGGGACUGGAAUUCUCGGUGUAGCAGUGAAAUGCGUAGAUAUCGAGAGGAACACCAGUGGCGAAGGCGAGUCCCUGGACACUACCUGACGCUGAGGCACGAAAGCUAGGGGAGCAAACAGGAUUAGAUACCCUGGUAGUCCUAGCCCUAAACGGUGCACGUUUGCUGUGAGAGGAAUCGACCCCUUUCGUGGCGAAGCUAACGCGUUAAACGUGCCGCCUGGGAAGUACGGCCGCAAGGUUAAAACUCAAA